rnacentral:tRNA from 5 species
GUCCCUGUAGCUUACAAUCAAAGCAUGGCACUGAAGAUGCCAAGACGGCCCCACACCCACCCGGGGACA